GCCCCCUCUCGAUUGAUGCCCUAGUUUUUUUCCUCUCCUCCCCUCCUCCCUCUAGCGCCGACAUCAAUCCACCGGGAGUCCUCUUAUUGUCUUCACUCUCCUGAAACCCUUAAACCAUCGCCACUCUCACCAGGUAAUGGCGAAAUAUUUCAAGAUAUACUCUAAAAAGAAAGGACAAAGGCCGAGUCCCGCGAAUCAAAUUUUGAAUCAUUGAGAAAGGGUUCAAGAAAGGUCUUGAUGGCCGCCUCUUGGUAUUUUUUUUUUCUUAUCUUUCUUUAAUAAAGUUUUAUGUGCAUGGUUAUUGUCCCUUUGCCUUAAUUAUCACAUGUUUUCUUGAAGAAAAUCGGUGCCUGGGAGUAAUGCAAGGUGAUUUCGUUGACUUGAUCUACAAAAUUUUGGUUCUAUCCUUUCUUGGAGUUCUUGAUCUCCUUCUUACUUUUGUUUACUAAUGUACGAUUGGCUGCCUUAUGGAGGGCCCAAUCCGUUGAUCAAUUGUUUCAAUUCUAUUCUAUUAACUGGUAUCUUAAAUGAACAGGGAUAUUAAGAUUUCUAUUUUGCACUUGUCUAAUCUUGGACGAUAAUUCUCUAUGUUGCAUGGCUGGAUGUGGAAGAGAAGGAAAGUGGCAGGCAGUUCUAAAAGCACUUGUGCAAAGGUUUAUAAUGAACCGAUGGGUAUCGUUGUCGGUCUAUAAUUAAGGAUGCAGUAAGAAAGGGGACUGCUGGUUGAAACUUUGAUAGAGCACACCUUGGGUCAAAUUGUUCUUUCUGAUGCAACAAAACGUCAACUUCUAUAUCAGUUUGUACUUGUAAUAUUAUCUUAUAGCUGGAAGCUCUCAACUUUGUGCGAAUGACUGUGUAGAUCAUGCUAGAGUAUUACGUGAAAUUGGUUAUAGCCUCUAAAAUGGAAUGACAAGAAGGACUCUUAGUGUGGAUCUCUAGUAGCCGGGUGCAGGCCUCUUGUUGAAAUCUCUGUAUCACAUUUAUGUUAACAUCUAGCUCAUAAUAGUGGACUAACUUGCUGCCAAUGUAACCUUCCUGGUUACCCUCAGAA